AUUGAACGCUGGCGGCAUGCCUUACACAUGCAAGUCGAACGGUAACAGGUCUUCGGAUGCUGACGAGUGGCGAACGGGUGAGUAAUACAUCGGAACGUGCCCGAUCGUGGGGGAUAACGAAGCGAAAGCUUUGCUAAUACCGCGUAAGAUCUACGGAUGAAAGCAGGGGACCGCAAGGCCUUGCGCGAACGGAGCGGCCGAUGGCAGAUUAGGUAGUUGGUGGGAUAAAAGCUUACCAAGCCGACGAUCUGUAGUUGGUCUGAGAGGACGACCAGCCGAACUGGGACUGAGACACGGCCCAGACUCCUACGGGAGGCAGCGGUGGGGAAUUUUGGACAAUGGGCGAAAGCCUGAUCCAGCCAUGCCGCGUGCAGGAUGAAGGCCUUCGGGUUGUAAACUGCUUUUGUACGGAACGAAAAGACUCUUUCUAAUAAAGAGGGUCCAUGACGGUACCGUAAGAAUAAGCACCGGCUAACUACGUGCCAGCCGCCGCCGUAAUAC
rnacentral:rRNA from 1 species